rnacentral:rRNA from 1 species
GCUUUCCCCUUCGGGGGACAAAGUGACAGGUGGUGCAUGGUUGUCGUCAGCUCGUGUCGUGAGAUGUUGGGUUAAGUCCCGCAACGAGCGCAACCCUUAAGCUUAGUUGCCAUCAUUAAGUUGGGCACUCUAAGUUGACUGCCGGUGACAAACCGGAGGAAGGUGGGGAUGACGUCAAAUCAUCAUGCCCCUUAUGAUUUGGGCUACACACGUGCUACAAUGGACAAUACAAAGGGCAGCGAAACCGUGAGGUCAAGCAAAUCCCAUAAAGUUGUUCUCAGUUCGGAUUGUAGUCUGCAACUCGACUACAUGAAGCUGGAAUCGCUAGUAAUCGUAGAUCAGCAUGCUACGGUGAAUACGUUCCCGGGUCUUGUACACAC